GAUUUCAUAGCAGGAGGUGGCGGGAAAUUCCCUUUGUACAGGUGAUGACUGGAUAUCUGCUAGCAGGAUCAAUUAUUGAACCAGGAGGUUUGAGAAAUAAAAGCAUUGUGUGAAUGAGAUCAUGAUAUCAUGAAUAAUCUACUUUCUUGUCGAACUUGAUUGAAAUGAAGCAUCGACAACAGGCAUGGUCAACAAUGAGGUUUCUACAUGUCUUGAGGGAAAAUAUGCUACAAUUGUGGUAUGUUGGCUUAUUGGUAAUGGAUGUCUUUUCUCAUGGAAUAGUAUGCUGACUAUAGAAGAUUACUGCAUUUACUUGUUUCCAAUAAGUGAUUAUAAUUUUCAUGCACUUUUCUGCUUAAUUAUCUGACUUCUCAUUCAAAUGGUGCAAUAGCAUUGCUUAAUUGUCUUGGAGACCCCUUUUUUCUCAAUCUAUUAUGUUAUUCUGAGAUGUUGUGAUUGUUUUAUAACAAAAUUUAGUUUUGUUUUUCUCCUCGUGCAAAAAUAUCACCCUUCUAGGUUGCUUACUCUUGUAUAUCAGCCAUUUGCAAUUGGAACACUUGCGAUAUUGGCGUAUAAUGAGGCCAAACUCAAUACACGAAUAAGGAAUAUGUUUGGAUACAUACUUUUUUCAUAAGCACUUUGUUGGUGUUGAUUGUAAGUCUAUCAAUUUGAUGGUGCACUAGGAUUAAUUAGUCCCUUUAGGAUGGUUUUUUAUUCUAUUUUUCCUACAAAUUUGCUAUAGUUACAGCAUCUUGAAAAUGAGGGCUUGGAACUUUCAUUGGUAUAUGUGCACUGAGUGGUGAUUUUGGAGUUGCAGAUGCUUAUGUUCAAGGUGGAAUGGUGGGAGACCUCUCCUACAUGAAACUGGAAUUCAUUCAAUCUUUCCUUGCUGGUGUAGCAGCAUCCGAUGCAUUAACCUCUGCUUUGAGGUUAAUUACAAAAACAACAUUUGAGAAUUCUAAGGACGUUCUCUGCAAAGGAGCGA